CUACAUGUACCCGGUGUGCAACGAGAGGUGAGAGCUUUGGCACAUCUCGCAUCCGUGGAGAAGGCUGUAGAACACCGGCUGGAGGGCACGCAUUAUCCCACUGUGCAGAUGGGCUUCCACUACUGAAUGUCGGUGAGCCACCAGACGGAUGGCGUAGAGGGACAGCAAUCUCUUCCAAUGCCAGAUCCCAGAGAAGCAGUUGGGUAUCCUAAGUGCAAGCAAAGUGAAAAGGUAUCAUUUGUAGUAGUAUUAAUUCUGUUCAACAAUCAAUUCCAGAAAAGGCAAUAGCACAUCCCAUGUUGAAGAAACGAUCAUAAAAUAUCAAGUUAUACCACAAAUUAAUUAAUUAAUUAAGAAAAAAUAGUUUGAACCCCAAUUUAACCAAGCGACCAAAAAGACAGCCGGAGCAUCAUCCUCUCUUUCUAGCAGCAAGUGCAACACAAACUGCUAAGAGUCCAACAACUAGCAAGAAUAUAAAGUUCUAGAUACAUGUAGCAUUUUAAGCUCUUCUGUCUUCUACUCUUCUCGGUAUGCAGAAGCUCAGAAAGUAAAAGAACAAUUGGUGACUAGAGCUUUUGUCAUGAUUCUGAGAUACUAUAGUAAAAACCACCAUAAAAAUUCGAGAUUAAAAAAAAUCUUAUAUCAACUUCUAGGUACCUGUCCAAUUGACCCAAAGCGAUACAUGACAUUUUCUUCCGUUUCAUCAGAAUUUGGUGGGGACCAAUACGGAUCAAAAGAAACUGCACUAACCUGUAUAAUUGCAAAUUAAUUCGACUCAAAAUGGAGGUUUCAAUUAAAAAUGCUAUGUGAUAAAAGCAAAGACAAUUGUAACGAUAAUGUCACCCAUGAAUUAUGCCCUUCACCCCAUGCAACUAUCUUUCUAUCAUCCAUGCUCCAUACUUGCACAAGAUCAUCUUCACCACCUGAUAACAAAUAUUUGCCAUCCGCACUACAGAACAUCACAACGAACUAAUUAGCACCUUCCAGAAUCUAAUUCACAGAAGUGUAGAGAGAAUAAAACAAGAUUCAAACAUGCAAUGGUUGUAUGCAUAAAUUAGGCAAUCCAUUCGGUGUUGUUAUUAAGUCCUGUUUCCUAAGCAUGUCCUGUUUCCUAAGCAUUCUCCUAGUUACUUGUGCUAGUUAAUUAUAGUCAUUAAAGACCUUGAGCAGCUCAACAGGUGUGUGCGGCUGCCAAGGCUCCUAUCAGAUUAGCUAAGCUCUAAUGAGCUGUUAUGUAAUCAAUGUGACUCAUCUUUCUAUAUAAUCAAGCAAUGAUAGCUGAGGUUAGUAGUCCCGGCAAAACACUCUGUCUACCUCUAACAUUUGGUAUCAGAGCUUAGGUUAGACACCUGAGAGCCUCAAGGCCGACUCCUCUCUUCUCUACUCAUGUCGACCUCUGUUGAGCGCGCUGCCAGGCUCAAGGCCAAGGGAACCAGCGAAGGAGAGCUGGGCGACUUCUCCAGCCGGGCUGCAUGUCUGAAGGCUGCAGAGGAAGCAGCGGUGCUGGCAGUCCAGGCAGCAAAGCAGGCAGCGGCUGCAGCAGAGGCGGCGGCAAGGACGGCGCAGGAGCUGCGGGCUGAAAUCGCCGCCGAGAAGGGAGAAGAUGAGGAGGUCGAGGAAGAGGAAGAGGAGAUGGAGAAGAAUCGGAGGCCGUGGACUCCUCCGCGAGAUCGGAGGCGUUCGCAGUCACCACUGCGGGACCGGAGGCGCUGCCGCGGCGGUGGUCGCUACGAGUCGCCGCAAGGAAGGGUGGUGUACCGCGACUCCGGCAGCGGCACGGCGUGGCCGAUGCUGGACAAGACGAAUUACUACGAGUGGAGCCAGACUAUGAAGCUGAGGAUGCAGGCGCGCGAUCUCUGGGACGCCAUUGAAGGCGGUCCUGUCCAGUUCCGCGAUGACAGACGCGCACUGGAGGUGAUCGUCGGGGCUGUACCCAAGGAGAUGGGUCUCCCACUGCUCGACAAGGCUACGGCGAAGGAGGCGUGGGACGCCAUCGCUGCGACCCGCAUCGGCGUGGACAGAGUCCGUCGAGCAACGCUGCAGCGCCUACGCUGUGAUUGGGAGAACAUCAGUGUCAAUCCUGGUGAGCAAGUGGAUGACUUUGUUGUGCGGUUGUCAACUCUGCACCAGCAGCUUGUCAUCCAUGGUGAUAGGGACAUCACUGAGGAGCGCGUGGUGGAGAAAUUCCUGCGCACGGUGCCAGCCAAGUACUCACAGAUCGUCGUCGCCAUUGAGCAGUUCCUUGAUUUUGAGGCACUGACUCUUGAGGAGGUGACUAGAAGGCUUAAGGCGGUGGACAAUCGCGAAGAACAAGUACUGACCGAGCCGGUGGCCAUCAAUGGCAAGCUAUUGUACACUGAGGAGCAGUGGAAAGCGCGAUGCAGAAAGGAGAAGAAGGGAGACGAUGCAGGUGGCUCUGGUUCCAGGAACCAGCGCGGUGGCGGUGGAUGCAGCCGCGGUGGUGGACGAGGACGAGGCAGAGGAGGUGGACGUGGUGGCGGACGAGGAGACGGCAAUGUUGCUGGCCGUGUCGGCCCCAACACCUGCCUCAACUGCAACCAGGAAGGCCACUGGGCACGUGAGUGUCCGCAACCGCGCCGUGAGGAUGCAGAGCACGGCAGUGGCGGUGGAAACCGUGCUGGUCGCGGCGGUGGCAAUCGUGGUGGAGGUCGCGGCGGUGGCAAUCGUGGUGGAGGUCGCGGCGGCGGAAAUCAGGCUGGACAGCGUGGCGGGAACCAAGGAAGGCAUGAGGCGCGCGUCCAGUACGCCGAAUGUGAAGAAGAUGGUGCUCUGUUUCUGGCACAUGGCUUUAUCAGCCUGGAACAGAGCACGCCGGCGCACAGCUAAACGGCGCAGCACGUCGAGCUCUCUGAGCCACGUGCCUGUGCCUACCUUGGCGUGGAUGAAGAUAUGGACAGCGGUUGGUACCUAGACUCUGGCGCAACACAUCACAUGACCGGACGUCAAGAACUCUUUGCUGAUCUGAACACUGGCGUUCGAGGAACGGUCCGGUUCGGGGAUGCAUCGAAGGUGGAAAUCAAGGGAGUUGGAUCCAUCAUUUUUCAAGCCAAGACUGGUGAGCAGAGAGUUCUUCACGGCGUUUACUACAUUCCAGCGCUGAAGAACUCCAUACUAAGUCUGGGACAGCUUGAUGAAGGAGGGUCCAAGGUUGUUAUUAACCAUGGCGUGCUCCGCAUUUGGGACAAUCAUCACCGAUUGCUGGCCAAGGUACAUCGAGGGAAGAACAGGUUGUACAUUUUGUACCUCGAGGCUGCACAACCUAUCUGUCUCGCGGCGCGCAAGGAUGUUGAGGCAUGGCAGUGGCACGAACGUUUCGGCCAUCUAAACUUCGAUGCACUCCGGCGACUCAGCAAGGAGAAGAUGGCGCGUGGGAUGCCGGUGGUCGAUCAUGUGGACCAGGUAUGUGACACUUGUGUCACCACGAAGCAGAGGCGGCGCUCUUUUCCGGCCGCAGCAGCAUAUCGUGCCCAGAAUCAACUCGAAUUGGUGCACGGUGAUCUGUGCGGCCCAGUCACGCCAGCGACACCGGCGGGCAACCGCUACAUUCUGCUGCUCGUCGAUGAUGCCACCCGUUUUAUGUGGGCUGUGUUGCUGCCAUCCAAGGACGCAGCGGCCGAAGCAAUCAAGAAGAUCAAGGCAGCAGCAGAGGUGGAAAGCGGGCGCAAGUUGAAGGUCCUGCGCACCGACAAUGGCGGGGAAUUCACCGUCGCGGAGUUCGCCGCAUACUGCGCUGAUGAAGGUAUUAAAAGGCAUUUCAGUGCUCCUUAUUCACCGCAACAGAAUGGUGUGGUUGAGCGCAGGAAUCAAACUGUGGUGGCCAUGGCACGAGCUCUGCUCAAGCAACGCCGGAUGCCUUCUCGGUUUUGGGGGGAGGCUGUGAUGACGGCUGUGCACAUUCUGAAUCGAUCUCCAACAAAGGCACUGAAGAAUGUCACUCCGUAUGAGGCAUGGCAUGGCCAGGCACCAACAGUUGGCCAUCUCAAGGUAUUUGGUUGCGUGGCUUAUACCCGGCGGCUUACUCAGCUCCAGAAACUUGAUGAUCGUGGUGAGGCUGGAGUGUUCAUUGGCUAUGCAGAAGGGGCCAAGGCAUAUCGUGUAUUUGAUCCAGUGUCCCAGCGCGUGCGAGUCAGCCGUGAUGUGGUAUUUGAUGAAGGACGUGGCUGGGACUGGGCAUCAGCGGCAGCAGGUACUUUAGAGGCAGCAGGCAGCGAUUUUGUUGUUGAGUUUCCAUGGGCAGAAGAGUUUUCUGAAGCAGAGAGUUCAGUGUUACCCUCACCACCUCUUCAGUCACAUCCUACAUCACCUAGUCUCCCUUUGGUGAGUGCAGGAGAGUCUGCAGCAGAAGCAGAGGAAUCCGCAGUGGAGACAGAGGUGUAUGUGUCGCCUAGAACACCUACACCAGCUCCAGCAAGCCCGCAGAUAGAGCAUGUGACUCCUCUGGAGAAUGAUAGUGAAAGGGUGGAUGCUUAUCAUGAUGGUGAAGAGCUUCGUUAUAGGAAGAUCCAUAAUUUGUCCAGAUCUCUUUGAUCUGGAUUUAUCUCUUCUUCUUAAUAUAUUGAGGCGCAGUUCUCCUGCGUUUUUCCAAAAAAAAUAUUAUUGGUAAUCAGCCAACCCCUUUGCCGGCACAGAGGUUGUUUGCAGAACUGAACCUCACUCAUGCCGGUGAGCCCACAAGCUAUGAAGAGGCCAAAGAUGACCCAGAUUGGCAGGCAGCAAUGAAGGAAGAGCUGAGCUCAGUUGAGCGGAAUGGGACUUGGGAACUUGUUACUCCUAGUCCAGGUCAUCGCCCAAUUUCAUUGAAGUGGGUGUUUAAAUUGAAGAAGGAUGAACAUGGUGCUGUGAUCAGGCACAAGGCAAGACUUGUGGCACGUGGCUUUGUUCAGAAGGAAGGGAUUGACUAUGAAGAUGCCUUUGCACCAGUUGCAAGAAUGGAAUCAGUACGUGUUUUACUUGAUCUAGCAGCACAAGAAGGUUGGGCAGUACAUCACAUGGAUGUGAAGUCUGCAUUUCUGAAUGGAGAACUCAAAGAAGAGGUUUAUGUUACUCAGCCACCAGGCUUUGAAGUAUCAGGAGAAGAGAAGAAAGUGUACAGGUUACACAAGGCAUUGUAUGGCCUAAGACAGGCUCCUCGGGCUUGGAAUGCCAAACUUGAUUUGACUCUCAAGCAAAUGGGUUUUCAGCAGAAUGUAUAUGAGGCUGCCAUGUACAGGAAAGGCUCAGGUGAUUCUUUGCUGGUAAUUGGAGUCUAUGUUGAUGAAUUGAUCAUCACUGGAGUCAAUCAGCAGAAGGUUGAAGUUUUCAAGGCAAAAAUGAAGCAGACAUUCGAAAUGAGUGAUUUGGGUCUGUUGUCUUUCUAUCUUGGGGUUGAGGUAAGACAAUCAGAGGGAAGCAUUACUCUGAAACAGACUCAUUAUGCUAAGAAGAUACUUGAGCUCGGUGGUAUGGCAGACUGUAAUCCAGCCACCACCCCCAUGGAAGAAAGGUUGAAACUGAGCAAGGAAAGUACAGCAAAGGAGGUAAAUCCAACUCAGUAUAGAAGACUAGUUGGUAGCCUGAGAUAUCUAGUGCACACAAGGCCAGAUUUGGCUUUUGUUGUAGGGUAUGUUAGCAGAUUUCUGGAGAAGCCAACAGCUGAACAUCUUCAGGCUGUAAAAAGAAUCUUGAGAUAUGUGGCUGGUACUCUAGAUCAUGGGCUAUGCUAUACUAGAAUGACAGGCAAGGCAAGAUUUGUGGGUUAUAGUGACUCAGACUUGGCUGGAGAUAUUGAUACAAGUAAAAGCACUACUGGAUGUUUGUUUUUCCUUGGAAACAGUCUGGUCAGCUGGCAAUCUAUCAAGCAGAGAGUUGUUGCCUUGUCAAGCUGUGAGGCUGAAUAUGUGGCAAUGACAACAGCUGCAACCCAAGCCUUGUGGUUGUCAAGGCUGUUUGCAGAAUUAUUGGGAAGAGAAGUUGAGGUGGUGGAACCUAGAGUAGACAAUAAAUCUGCUCUAGCUUUGGCAAAGAAUCCUGUUUUCCAUGACAGGAGCAAACAUAUUAGAAUCAAGCAUCACUUCAUCAGGGACUGUGUGGAAGAAGGUAGCAUCAAAACAGAAUUUAUUCCCACUGCAGAUCAGCUUGCUGAUAUACUGACCAAAGCCUUGGGCAAGACCAAGUUGGAAGAUAUGAGAAGCAGAAUUGGGAUCAAGGAGAUCAAGAUCAGUUGAAACAGGCCUUAGGGGGAGAAAUGUUGUUAUUAAGUCCUGUUUCCUAAGCAUGUCUUGUUUCCUAAGCAUUCUCCUAGUUACUUGUGCUAGUUAAUUAUAGUCAUUAAAGACCUUGAGCAGCUCAACAGGUGUGUGCGGCUGCCAAGGCUCCUAUCAGAUUAGCUAAGCUCUAAUGAGCUGUUAUGUAAUCAAUGUGACUCAUCUUUCUAUAUAAUCAAGCAAUGAUAGCUGAGGUUAGUAGUCCCGGCAAAACACUAUGUCUACCUCUAACAUUCGGAAGAUAAGAUGUUAGCAGGAAAGGUUUGAGUAUGGAACUUGUUCAACAAAUAGCCAUAUAACAAAUACUGAGAACCAAGUAGUAGCUUGGUUUGUUAGUACUCCAGUUGAGAUGAUGGCCACUGAGCUCAACCAGAGGAUCACCAACUUGCAGGUACCUCCCUGAGAAAAUGGGAUUCAGUGACUUCAUGGCUAGCAAAGGUUCACCCUACUUGCUGCUAUCCUAUCACAACUCCCACUCAACCGACCUCAUUGCAAGCCCUUCUUUUCCAUUCAUUCCAUCCCACCCCAAAGCCUUUAACUUCAAGGGCACAACUAAAACUGAAUUAAGCACUGUCCCCCUACGGCCCUACCCUAGCAAUGUGCAGGAUGAUUUUGAAAAAACUGGCUGGCCGGGUAUUAUAUGUGGCUAUGUACUUAUGUAGCCCAUCUUUACAAUGAGCUGAGAAUAUUGUUUGUUAAUGCAGUAUAUCAUUGUCAGCUGAGGUAGAAGCCAUGGUGGUGUGUCAUUGUACCAGCUGCUGCAAGCCAAUAUACAAGUACAUCACCAUGUACCACACUUAGAAGUAGUAAUGGAUCAUGAUCCAAAUAUUUCUUCACAAUAAGUUAGGGUCCUUAAUAAAUUUUAGUUCAAAAAUGAAUAGGAAUAGAGCCUGAACCUAAUCCGAGUGGAUCCUUAGAUUUUGUAGUGUAAAAUUUAGAGCUCAUUACCACCCCUAACCACACUUCAAAUUUAUACAUUGUACUAGAUGUGCCUUCAUCCUUUCUCGUUCCUUCAUCUUCGACUCAGUUACUCCGUUAUGUACUUGUUCCCAUCUUGCCAUUUCUACUUUUUCUCCAAGAAUUUCAGAUUUUCUAUUUAGAUGUUUGUAACCAUGAAUUAUUCAACUAACAGAAAAACUUGCAUCUGACAUAUUCUAUAUCGUAAUAUUGCUUCAUCUAAUAUUUAUCGAUUCUGAAUGUUAGGAAGAGGAAAAGCCGAGCAGAUGGACUAAAUAUCUUGCCCCUAGCCUGCUAUAAACUAUCCAUUCUAAAACUCCAUACAUUAUGCUCAUGUAAUUAUGCAAAAAUGGCCAACGGUACUAAUUCGAGUUUUGACAAACAUCUCAAAACUAAGUUUAACAAGGUAAAAUGACAUGAAAAAGAUUGGAAUAGGUUUGCUAUAUAGUGAUUCACAUAUUACUCAUGAGUCAUCAGGACUACACAAGUUAAAAAUAUAUAAAAUCUAAAAACCAGGCAGUAAUACAACCAUAGUUGUUAAGGUGUCCCAUCCCCAAGGCGACGCUUAAGCGUCACCUAGGCGGUAAGCGCGCCGGCGACGUAAGGCGUCCUGCUCGCCUUACGCCUGCACCUAAGGCGAGUGGGAGAGGCCAGUGGUGGCUCCAGCAGCGGCUCCUCCAACAGUGGCGUUGUGGCUCCUCCAGCAUCGGCGCCGCAGCGGCUCCAGAGGCUCCUCCAGCAGCAGCUGGCACAGGAGAGAGGGAGCCAGCUGGAGAGAGAGAAGAAGAGGGAGAGACGCCAGUGGGGAGAGAGGGGGAGGCAGGGUCGCUGGGAGUCGGGAGUGAGGCGGCUAGGUCACUGCCUCGCUGGGAGGGGAGGAGUCAGGAGUGGCGGCUGAGACUGGGAGAAGAUAGAGAGGGAGAGGUCUAGGAGAGAAAAUGGUCUUAACGCUAGUGGGCUUUUGGGCUGAUUUGUAGAUUGGGGGCUAAGUUUUUCUUUUAUCUUUUCCUCGUUUUUAUCCUAAAUACUUUCUCAAAUAUCAAUAUUUUUCUAUUUUUAACUAUAUUUAAGGCAUCGCCUCGCCUUACACCUUAUCGCCUAAAAGGUAAAAGAGGGCCAGUCGCCUUACCUCGCCUUGCCGCCUUAACAACUAUGAAUACAAUUGAUGCAAUACAUCAUUAAGGGAACCAUGCACAGUCCCGUAUAUGUCAGACUUGGACAUGCAAAAAUAUUUCAGUUCUAUGAAACUUAUGCAGAAUAGGUGGCAGACCAUAUCUAGGAAGCAAAACAUGCUAUUGGCAGCUUACCUCCAAGAGCAACACAACAGUGCACCGUAGUAACUUUUCCCACCAAAUAUUAGUUGUUCUUUAGCAAAGUCAAAUACUCUUAAAUGGCCUGCAUAAGAUCAGAUUGUUUUAGUGCAGUAUACAACUUUUCCAACAGCUUACCAUUUUCUGCGUAAAGCUGUCGAUUCUCAUUCUUGGGUAGAGAAAUUUACCAUCACGCCCAACAGUUGCCAAGUAAGCACCAUCCGGUGAAAAGGAAAUGUCAUUGAUUGCACCUUGACAGAUGUGCCACCUUGCAAUUGGAUUGCUCUGCAGUAUAAUUUUAAACCAUAGAAUGAAUCAUAGCAGACGCAACAUUAGGACUCAAUGAUGUUAAAAAAAUCCAAUUAAGGGCAUGCUUAAUUCUCUUGCUCACCCUUGUCUAGCCUUGCCUAGCAAGGUAGAGAAGAAAAACUCAUGAAGCUUUGUUUGGUUUGAAUUUGGGCAAGGUGGGGAUUUCCCUUGCUUUGGAAGGAGUGCUAGAUUGGCUAACCUCGCCUGUGCCUUGCCUAACCUUGCCAAGCAAGGAAAGUGGGCAAGUUUGUUCAAGACAACCAAACAUGCCGUAACUCUCAUAGGUACUUCGCAAAUCUUGUCAUAAAAUCACAGCAAUGAUAAUUGUUUCACACACUUAUAUUAUAUAUUUCCAGUAUGACCUGCUGGAAUGGGUUUAGUACUAUUCGGUAGCUGGUAUUAGCUGAUAAAAAGGUCAGGCCAAGGAUACACAAGUUUAUGCUUUAAUGUCGACUACCAAGAGGCAAGAAUGCAGCCAACGCCAGUGCACACCUUUAAUUUUGUCAGCCUUCAGGUACUUAUGAUAGAUAUUUUGGUAUGUGUCAGCUACAAAGAAAGGGCAAUAGAGUGUUGCAGGAGGUCAAAGCACUUGUCUCCAUAACAAUUUUCCAGAAAAAAAACAUUUUACUAAUACCCUGAAGUAAAUUAUGGAACGUACAUAGCCAUGUCAAUGUAAUUUUUAGUAAAAGAGAUAUCAUGUAGCUUGAGAUACCUUACUCGACUUUGCAUGUGAAAUCAGCACCUGACUUUGAUCCUUUACAGUUGGAAAUGUCCAAUCAGUAUUUCCAUCCUUGCACUGAAUGUAGAAAAGAAAACUUAUCAGCAAAGUAAAUUUAACAAAGUAUGGUUACUUCAUACAAAGUUCCAUGAGCAUUAAGGGCUCACUUUGUCAUACACGUACAGAUUCCCAUCAGCAUGACUAACAACAAAAAUUCCUUCACGCUCUGGAACCCAUGCAACACAAGUGCUCCGACUGCAUAGAUUGGUGUCCAAGCAUCAAUAUAUACUUACAAUUUAAUUACUGUGUAAAGAAAAGCAUUCAUCUACACACAGAAAUAGUAUCUUCUGUUUUAACUUCGGCAUCGUAGUUGCCUUUGAACUAAGAAAAUAAGUUUAAGUAAACUCUACUAAAAAAUGACAAGGGAAAAUCCAUUCAAAUAUCCUAGACAGCAGGCACAGCACAUAAUCAAGAUUAUCAUCCUUCGGUAGUUUAAUCGCCACAACGGUUUCAAUAUAGCAGAUCCCACUAUACAAGUAUGUAUGCAUGCUAACCAAAAUGCUUCCCUUUAGAUCUUACUCAUGACACGGUCUCCCGAAGUAUCCUUUGACCAUUUAUUUAUUAUUUUAUAUUAUAUUGUUCAUACUUAUAAACUUAUGAUAGUUGGAUUGUACAUUUGAUUGCAAAUCUAACGGUGUCAAGUUUGUAUUAUAAUCAAUGUUUUCAGGUUGUCCGACUAAUCAUGAUUAGUUGCUAUUAGUUGGUCUUAUCGGUCCUAUCGAUAAGGCUCCCUAACGUGAUCAGGUCAACUAGAAACCUAGUCAUCUGAUUAGUCGGCGACUAAUCGCGACUAGUCAUCCAAAUAGGGUGGCCGGCUACUAACCUAAUGUGUGAUGUCAUGGGCUCCGAGACCGGACCCUUGAGGAAUUUUAGCCUAGGCCCAUUAGAGUUCAGAUUCAGAUAUACUCUAGUUAGUCUCUUAUCUCAUCCUCUCUCCUCUCUACCCGUGACUCCGAGCGCCUCCUCUCUCCAGCCCGUGCACCACCUAGACCUAGAGACCAUCGGCCGCCGCUUCUUGGACCUAGAGGCAGACUGAUCCGCUGCUGCUUGGACCACUGCCUGGACAGCCACAAAGACUGUCGCCACGGACGACGCUUGGAGAUGAAUUCCUCUUCAGAUGGUAUGGCUCAUUGGCUCUGCUCUGCUCUGCUCUUUGGGUUCUGCCGUGUUGCUCCUAGCUCGAAGUGCUGCUGUAGUGCUACGCGCUGCUGUCAAUUGUCAGGUUGUGCUCUGUUGCUAAGUGGUGCUGUUGUUGAUGAAGCUCUUGGUGCAACUCAGCAUCUAAGAGGGAAGAAUAUGCCAAGGGCUGCUGCUGCUCGUGCUGCCUCUGUGGGUGCUACUGUUAGACAAACAUACACUAGAAGCAUGCAAGGAAUACUAUAGUUGCAGCUCUAGUUAUUGUUGAAGAGGACAAUGAGGAGAUGGAGGAAGAUGAACCAGCAGCACAUGGAGGAGACUUUGAUUAUGAUGAGAUGGAGAAAGAAGCACCUGUUGCAGCUGGGCCAUCUACUGUAGCAGCAGCUGGAGAUGGAAAAGAAGGCUUCCAUUGGAUGAUGAUGUACUUGUUUAGUAGAUGCUUCAAAUCUAAAAUUUAUUAAUAUAAUAUUCUCUUUGUCAUUUAGAUGCAUUUAAACUCUAAUUUGUUGUUGUUCUAGACAUUGAUAUGGUUCGAUUAUGUAAUAUGGAGUUUUAGACCAAUUUACUUGGCUGUUGGCUGCUUGGUCAUAUGGUUUAAUCCUUCUUUACUUGGCGGCUUGGUCAUACGGUUUAAUUACCUGAUUUUGCAUCAUUGCUUGGUUGCUGCGCUGCCACUUCUUACUCAUUUAAUCCUUGUUUCAGAUACAAGAGCUGCAACUCAGCAAGAUUGGAGUGGGACAGCCAAAAUACAAUGAAGCUGUCACUUCACAUCUAACACACUAUGUUCGUCUUCGCUGAUGCAUGCACUACAAGUUGUAAGUCAAGAACUUAGUAUCUUCCAUGCAUAUGGGUUAUCGUUACUUUUGUCAGUAUCUCAGACCGUGUCCAGCAGCUUUUUCAUAUGAUUAUCCAAAACACUGUUUUACAUUGUUUUGCACUGUAGACUGCACUAUUCGCUGAGUAGAGUUUGAAUAUGAAGAUGAGGAUGGAUAAGCUGUUGGAGAUAGUCUCAGCAAAUUCUAACAGAUCGCAGUGUACUGCAUGUCGGCUUGUGUAACUCGUAGGACCACUACCAUAUCAAGAAAUAAAUAUUUAAUACUGGUAAGGUAACGGCAAGACAAAUUUGCCAAGCUUAUUAAGGGGGAAAUUGACAAACACUUUUAGCACAUGUUCGGCUGUGGUAAAAGGCAGCUGUUGCUGCUGCCGUGCUGCGGGCUCCAGCAGCUUCCCGCUCUCUCACAAAAGUACUGUUGCAGCAGCUGCGGCAACAGUUUUUUAUCAUACCCAAACAGCGUGUUAAAUUAAACAGUAAAAAUGAAAACAUGCCUGCUGGCAGCGCCACCUUGACUUGGAUCUUUGUCUUUAUCUUUGUCUCUAUUAACAAAAUGCUGAUAUGAAACGGGCUUCUUUCCAGGAUCUUGCAGCUGCUGCCUCAGUGACAUUGAAUAGACUGUAGAACAAAUAAAAGAACUUAUGCACGAUUCUUUAACUAAUAUAAGCAUAAAGCUUUCCUAAUUAUGAAGCAUUUGACAUACCAUCUCCUGAGAACACCCCAACAAGCAGAUCGUGCCCAUCCUUGGCCUCUGGGUCAAAUGCAUGGCAAAGCGGGUUUGAGCUACUGAAGUGGAUGGACUUUAUUGGAUCCUGAUGCAAUUAGCAUGUGAACAGAGAACCACAGGAUACCAAAGUUGCAAGCAACUUAACAUGCAUGCAUGCAAUAAGAGAUAAGGAAAUACUUUGUCAUGUGAGUUGAGAUCACUGAUGAAGAGUGUAUCUGCAGUAUUAAAUAUGAUGUACGCGCCCUUUCCAUCAUAGUUUGCCAUGCCUUGCGAUCCACUUGCACUAGUCGACACACCAAUUCCUCCACCCAUGCGGCUGCUUCCUGAGACAGCCCUGCUGGUACCAUUGCUCCCGAAGCUAAGUGCCCGGCUCCCAUUCCCAGUGCCGAGAAGUCUUGCAGCUGCAGACCGCAUCCCACUACCAGCACUUGGUGUUGAAGGCGUGGAACCCUGGCCUGCUGGCUUCUCCUUCAAAUAUGCCACUGUCAUCUGGCACCAUCACAACAAACAAUCGAUAACUGCAUAAAGGAUUUGUAAUCUACACAACGCAACAGAAUCAGAAAGCACAAAGCCCUCAGAACAGUUAAGCAGAUAUUUGAUCUAUUCUAUUAGAGUGUUAGAAUUUGCGAACAGAAAAAUGUGUGUCAUUUGUAUUUGUAUUUUUUCCUAGAACGGUAACACGAAAUAUAUGCAGGGACUAUCCAAACAUUAAACAUUACACCAAUCUAUGCUGCGCCUGAUCCAAUCCAUGAAGCGCCUAGAAACUUCCGAAUAUCUGCCGCAUCGCAUCUACGAUGACUCAUCCAGAUACCACACCUGAUCAAGCCAAGUCAACACACAUCCCAACCCAAUUCCCCAUCCAUCCAGCACAGACCGACCCAUCAAUAACCCCAUAAAGCACAUCAAACUGCCUCGCUACCCUAAUCCGAACGACGGCGCCCUUGCUACCUGGGAGACGGUCUUGCCGCUGUGGCUGUAGUGCACGACGGCGGGGGAGUGCGUCUUCUCAUACUGCAGCUUGUGCCGCCCCUCGGGGGUCUUGAAGUAGGUCUUCAGCCCGCCAGACCCCGCGCCGGCCCCGCCGGCCGACCCCGCCGCCGACGCCAUGCUCCCCCACGGGCGAUCGCGGACCGCCGCAAUGCUCACUCGCCGACCCCGCGCGCGUGCGCAGACAGACGAGGCCGCGUGAGCAGUCACCGGCUCAUGCCCCCGCCGGUGACGCGAGGGGUAGGGCCAUGGAGGCGAGGGAUGAGGUGGUCGGAUUGGGGAUGAGACGGGGUGGAUGCGGGAGAGCCGGAGAGCAGAACGAAGCCUUGGACUCGGUCACUCGGAGGAGCGGAGAAAGAAAAAAAACGAGUUGAUUAUUUUUUGCGGACUCUUCGUGUGUCCAUAGAAAAAUUCUAUAUGAGUAAUAUGACAUCGUGACUAUAUGAAACGGAAGAAGACCCUUUCGGUAAUAUGAAGAAACUCUUUCGGCUAGGUCGAGAGAAAAUAUAAAAAAUGAAAAACAAGUAAAAAAAUAAUGCAUGAUGACUAAUUUGGUGACCAGAGCAACUGAAUUUUUUCUAUAUAUCUUUUCAAUUCAUCGGUCACCAAAUCAGUUCUAAAAGUUGAUUUUUUUAGUAUAAGUGGGUGUUUGGUUUAUAGGGACUAAACAUUAGUCCCUUCACUUUAUUCCAUUUUAGUUCAUAAAUUGUUAAAUAGGGAAACUAAGGGCCCGUUUGGCACAGCUCCAGCUCCUGAUUCUAAGCGAGGAUCUAGAGGAGUCGUGCCAAACAGGUAUUUUUUUUAACUGAUUCUCGUGUGGAGCCGAAAGAUCGGGAGUCGUUUUUGUGAAGAAAGGUGGGAUCUAAAAAAACCUGCUCCACCCUCCCUUAAAAUAGCUCCUCAACCAACCAAAUAUGGACCUCCCCUUAAAUUUUGAUCGAAAUUACCCGUAAUUGCCAUUGGACAAAAACAUAACGAGCCAAUUUAUGGAUUAAACAUUUGAGACCAUUUUAUGCACUACUAUGAUGAGAAUAUUUUAUAUGUUAUUGUUUCAUAUUUUUUUUCCGUAUAUGCAUCCUACUUAUUGGUUUGUAACAAAGUUAAACUGCAAAGGAUAAAACAGACAAUCGCCACGGACCACCAACUUUCAGAAGACAAGAAUCAGUUUACUUGCCAAACGGUUUUAAAAAUGAUUCUGAUUCUCUAGGAGAAGCAGGAGGAUCAACUCCUCACGAGGAUCAGGAUCUGGAGCUAAAGAAGCUGGAGCUGGAGCUUUGCCAAACGAGCCCUAAAAUAGAGUUUUAGUUUCUAUAUUUAGUAAAUUAGGGACUAAAAUGGAAUAAAAUUGAGGGACUAAAAAUUAGUCCAUAGAAACCAAACACCCCCUAAAUAUAAAGUUGACUUUCGAAAGAACAUGAUAAAAGGCUCCGCAAUUGAUAAAUAUGUCAUCAGCACUCUCAAGUUACUCGUACUAGUAUAAUGUUUGUACGGUCAUAUUUGAUUGGUGACAAUGACAAACCAUAGUGAAAAGCCCUUUGUCAUAAUGUUGAUCUCUAGACUAAAAGUUACAACACACCUAUCCAAACACAUUACAAUCCAAAAAAAUUGGAAUUAGAAUUCAAAAUAGUCAGCAUGUUCGCUUGGCUUUAUUUCCUACUGGCUUCUACUGCUUCUAUAUUGUUUUUAUCUAUAUAGAUUGAAGCUGCAACAGUUUGAACAAUUAGCUUUAAUAUGAAGCAAACAGCCUGAGUAAGGGUGUGUUUGGUUUGACUUUUGGCUUUGACUUUUGCCCCCCUAAAAGCCAAAAGCCAACCAAAGAGAUGGAUCCAGGAAGCAGUUUUUUCUAAAAGCCGACUUUCUCGUAGUGCAAAUCUGAAAGCACCUCUGGACCUGCUUUUAGUGGCUUUUCGGAUAAACUGUGAAAACAUAUAUCGAAGAAUUUUUUACGAUUUUUAGUGGUUUCCACCAAACGAUUUUUAGCUUUUUAACAGCUUACAACCUACAGCAGCUUUUUUCACAGCUCACCGUCCACAGCAACUUUUUUCACAGCCACAGCCCAACCAAAUAGAUCCUAAAUCUUUGUUAUGGCAAAGUUUAAUGGGUCACCGCCCAGGCGCCCACCUGCAUUCCUCUUUACAACUACAACUAUGUCAUGACUACACGAGCAAAACAAAGAAUAUUUUUUUGUCGAACGUUGAACGAUAUAUCAAACAUGCAUGCCCACGUAUGGGCAAGUUCGCGACGUCAAUCAUAGCUCAUCUCGGGAUGGCGAUGGUGGCACGACAUACAGGGUAGGCGGGCGUCCUAGUGAGCCACAUGUCGACACAGGUGUUGGGGUCUCCUUCUCUGCCGAAGGUCCUCAGGACGAAGAAAUCGUAUAUAAUCAAUGGGACUGAGUGCCGAAGGUGCAACAACCAUGCAUGUUGAAGCUGCAACAAGCACGAGCAAAGCGUCGAACGAUUACAACUUCGGCUCAAGGUGGUUACGAAGGUCAAAAGUGAUAUUAAACCAAAGAGAAAAAGACAUGUUAAUCCCUGAUAUUUGUAUUAGGAUAAUGUAUGCAUACUAGGGUCAUAAAUGUACUUUUGCUUGGGCUGUGUUCCUUGCUUAUAAAUAGAUGAACAGUACCACAUGUACUGUUUACGCUGGAUUGGGAUUGUGCACUCGCUUUCACCUUGAGCAAGCCAAAGGUACAAAUGUAAUAUACAUCAUGUAUUACUUUGCCAAUAUAUGAUACAGAUCUUAAUGUUAUUUAACAUUCAAUAUGAUAUAAAUAAUUGUCAUGUAUUUACAUUUGUAAAUACAUUUUUUGUAUUUGUAAAUGAUGAAGACUUGUUCUUCAUAACCUUCGUCCGAGAACCAUCAUGACCGAAUGCAUAUGAUGCUUCGAAG
rnacentral:lncRNA from 1 species